GCGCGAGUGGCGGAAUUGGUAGACGCGCUAGAUUUAGGUUCUAGUGCCUUCGGGCGUAGGGGUUCAAGUCCCCUCUUGCGCA
rnacentral:tRNA from 2 species